UACGUAGGGUGCAAGCGUUAAUCGGAAUGACUGGGCGUAAAGCGUGCGCAGGUGGUUGUGUAAGCUUGAUGUGAAAUCCCCGGGCUCAACCUGGGAAUGGCAUUGAGGACUGCACGACUAGAGUGUGGCAGAGGGAGGUGGAAUUCCACGUGUAGCAGUGAAAUGCGUAGAGAUGUGGAGGAACACCGAUGGCGAAGGCAGCCUCCUGGGUUAACACUGACACUCAUGCACGAAAGCGUGGGGAGCAAACAGG
rnacentral:rRNA from 1 species